rnacentral:rRNA from 1 species
CUCUUGCUGAACAUAAAAAUAAGAGGUCCCGCCUGCCCUGUGACUGUGAGUUUAACGGCCGCGGUAUUUUGACCGUGCGAAGGUAGCGCAAUCACUUGUCUUUUAAAUGAAGACCUGUAUGAAUGGCAUAACGAGGGCUUAACUGUCUCCUUUUUCCAGUCAAUGAAAUUGAUCUCCCCGUGCAGAAGCGGGGAUAAAACCAU